AUUUGGAAAAGGCAAAGAAAUCAAGUGAUCUUGGAAAUAUGCUGCAUAGAAUGAGUAGAUACAAUAUGACAACAGUAGAAUGGCAUGCAAUAUUACUGGUCAAGAAGUAAAACUAUUUUACUUCUGUUUUGAAAUACAAACAAUGCUAUCUUAUUGGUGGAGUUGCCAUACACAGUUCCAUGCAGUUUACAAAAUAUCUGAUGGAAAGAAAUAUUUUCUUCAUUCCUUGUGGAGAAGUUCUAUUCCAGUAUUUAACAAAAGUUCUAAUUACGGAACUUUUCCUCUUUGCUUCUGCUUACAUUUUAUAAUUUUCCAUCCCUAAACAGACCUUUUUCCUUCACCUCUUGCUCCAUAGUUAUGGAACAGGCACUGUCUGCAUCUUUGCUCUCAGAGCAGGACCUGCGUUGGCAGCAGCUGAAUCUUUUGCAGAGGAUGAUGAUCCCUUUGCUGUGUCUCCACCAGAAACUUGCUGCCAAUUAUUUUUUGGAAGAGCUGACAUACUGUAAACAGAUCUCUUGUAAUGGCAACAGGCUUAGCUAAGGAGGGUGAAAUAAUAAAUAUUAUAGAAAGAGAGAGCUGACUGAAUUAGUGAAGUAGAAAUCAUUCCUGCCAGGUCAUGAGAGGUUUGGUGAAAAAGUAAAAAAUCUCCAAACCCUGGAAGGUUUUAAUCCAUCUCUCAAAUAAUGCUGUUUUGCAUUUUGAGGGCAUUUCACGCCUUCAAGAUGCAGAGCAGAUGUUUCUUAAUUCUCCUAAUGAUUCUAUGGAGCAGGUGAACAUUAUCUCAGCUUUACAGAUGGGCGAAGAAGUACAAAGAAUUGGAACGGUUUGGCUCAGACCACAGAGUGAAUCAAUGGCAGAACCAGGAAUAGGACUGAGAAGUGUCUGGGAGUGCAUGCCUGUGCUGAGACCACUCAACCGCACUGCUCCCGACAUAAGAAAUGGAAAUGAAUUUUUAAUGUUCCUGUUUCCAAAGGAAGACUUUGGAUUUUAGAAAAAUUAAAUAUUUAUUUCAUUAUGUAUGACUUCAUAAGCCCAUAAUUUAUACCAGAUAGAUUUAUUGGCUUUAUUUCCCCAUGAUAAUUAUAUAGUCCUUGUUGAUCUAAUGGGCUUGUCAUUUUUAGUGAUGUAUCCAUCUGCCCAAAGAUAGGCAUUAUUUGCCUGUUAUGUAGUUAGGAACAAUAGAAUGCAUGCAAAAACUGCACUGAGCUUAAACACUAAAACCAAGGGGGUUUUCCUUCUGAAUGCAGAUUUAACACACUAAAUUAGUUUGGAACUACUUUAGUUUCCUAAGCAAACUCAAUCCUCUGAUAUUUAUCAGGCUGGCAGCAUUGCAGUCCUCUAUUUACUUAAAAUACUGAACACUCGAACUUCAGUCUUUUUGUCUGGUCAGUCUCAAAAGACAUUUAUUUCCCUGUUUGUUUGUUUGUUUUGUUUUGGUUUGGUUUGGUUUUUUUUCACAGAAUCACAGAAUUAUGAUUCUGUGAUUUUUUUUUCUGUCGAGACAUUCUUUCCCAGAAUCACACAGCUCCUGCUCUGCUGUGCAGAAGUGCUUCUCAAUCUUCAUACCUAACAAGUCUACAGCUCCUGUUGUUUCACAGGUCAGUCUUGGAUCCUUCCCAUUUCUUUUGGGUGAAAACUGAGUUAAACUUUACUUUUUCAUUUAAAAUGAAAAUAAUAAAUAAAAUAGGAAACUGGGAAAACUGUGACACACAUACUGAAUAUAAAAGCCCUGGAAAAUAUUCCAUAAAUCAGCAUUGCAUUUGCAGCUUAAAAAUGUGUAUUUAUAAAUAUUUGGGCAUUAUUAAAUUUUGCAUUCCUGCACUAUUAUGAUAAGUAAAUACGGUCUUACAGGUGCAUUCAGCCAGAGAGUAAAAAUAAGGGCACUGCUGGAUAUUUUAUAUAAAUGCGUCCUUUAAAGGUUAAGCACAAAUGAAAGGAUGUAGCAUAUCGUUCAAUUACAUUACUGUUUCAAAGACAGCAUUAUUCUUACGUAAUUUAAAACCAGAUAAUGCCUUAGAGAAAAACAAGGAUCAAGGGAGGGGGAUGCGGCUACACAAAGUAUAAGUGUAGGAAAAAGACACAGGCAAUGGUAAGUUUAAAUGGACCUGAUUCUGGAUGGAUGUAUCCUGCUUUCACUCUGCUUUCUCUUUGGGUCCUGAAACAGAGUAUCAGUCCAUGUACUGCCCUUGUACUAAACUUCUCCCAAGCCUUGCAAGCAUCGGAAGUACCUGGGCCUUUCUUCUCCUUCCCUCCCUUGACCUCAUCUCUGCAUCCCAUGCCUCUCCAGGCAGCCCAUGAACACUCAUGAGGAAGAAGGUGGCCAAUAUACUGCCAAGUGCUUCUGAGUGUAUGGGGACAGGGGAUAACAGGAAAAGCAAAAUGACUGGAGGAAGGUAGGUGUUCAUGGUAGCCGAUAUUUCUACACUUCAUAUGAUCUCCUAUUUCCCUGAGUAGGGAAGGUAAAUUUUCUCCUACCAUAUUUUAUAGGCUACCUCACAGAUUAAUGGUUGUGUCUAUUUCAUUCAUAGUGCAGUCUGACUGACAGGGGAUUGGCAGCUGGUUAAUUUGUUUUUCCCAGAAUAAAUAUUUCUAUCUAAAACACAACAUCUAUUGCUAAACAGUCUAGUGGAUGUUUUGUACAGAAUGUACACUGUACCAUUUAUUAUUUGAAUGUUAUUGUUCUUUGGUUCAGUAUCAGUUUCAUUUUUAAGAAGAUGGUUUUCUAUCUUCUUUCUCUGUCAGCUGUAUCUAUGUCAGCUUUUAUCAACAUUAUUUGAGCAGUGUAAAAUUACAGUUAAUGUAUUAGGAACUCAUAUAUACAUUCUCAACAACAUCUCACCCAUUCUAUACCCAGUAUCAAGCACACUAUUACGUGCUUUGAAGAAAUGAGUGCCAUGUGCUAUAAAUGGGACAUUCCAGGAAUUUUUGUCAAUGGCUGAUGCUUUGUUGUGUGUAGCCUUUCACUGGCAGGAUAUCUUCUUUAUUUUUAUAAAGAAGGAAUUUUGGCACUCCUUAUGUUGUUGAUAAGCAUAAUCUCUGUAUAAACAUACCUUCCCCAACACUUGGCAUGCUACUGCCUUCUUCUAUUAGGUCUCAGAGCUGAAACCAGCACAGUUUGUAGUGAUGUAAUAGAAAAGGGAUAGUUUGCAAUGACCUUCUCCAAAACUUGGCCAGGAAUCGAUGUAAAAAAUCUCCCCGAGACAUUCUCCCUGCAACAGUGCAAGGAACUGUCAGGAUGCCUAAUGCAUCUCUACCUUCCCUCCAAUUAGUAAAGGCAGAAGGGAGUGAGAGUGUGGAAAACAGCUAUCUUAAAAACCAUUUUUCUUUAGCAAAUAAAAAACAACACCAAAACACAGGAGAGGCAGCAGGAAUUUGUGUAUUGAUGCUUCUUUGCAGUUCCAGUCUGCUCUUUAGGUGCACUCCAUUGGACAGAUACUUCAUGAGAGCAGCCCCUGUGGAGGUGGGUUGAAGGGCAGAGGAGACGGGUUUGUGGGCAGGAAAUCAAUGUGGUGCAAUUCCUGGGAUGAGGCAGCAGAUCCUGCAGCCACUUACGAGACCAUUACUCACAUCAGGCUGUGUGGCCACUAUUCACAGGGUACUGCCUGCAUUAUAGAGGACAAAUCCUUCAUACUCCUGUGCACCCUUGUGAGGCACAUUUAAUUGAAGAAGUAACACAGCUGCAGAAAAACAUGAGUUCCUGAUAUUUCUGUAGAGCACCCAUGAUUUUUUUUUUUAACUAGGGGGAUAUGAUACACGAUUAACAUCUCUUCAAAGCUGAAAUGCACCACCUUCAUGUGGAAAUGUUUUGUACACAGAUAUUAGAAAGCUUUUCUCUAAUCAUUGAGUAAAUAUUCUGCUGACAAAUAGUUUUGAAAUUCUUCACAAUGAAUCCAGUCAGCUGCAUCAUUUACAUGUGCUGGAGGGGCUGGUAACCGAACAAACAAAAGUGUAAACUGCAAUCCAGCUACAGAGGAGGGAGAGGUAGAACAGGUAUGUUUGUGUCUUCUUGUUACUAAAGGAUGAAAGGAUGAAGGAGAACUUAAAAUUUAUUCUGAAAAGACAUUAGACUGCAGAAUUCUGAUGCAAAAAUAUUCAGCAGAACAAGAAGUCUCAAAUGAUAGCUAAAGGAACUAAGCCAGAAGACUGAAAUUUAAAGGUUGUUCAGAGUGAAGAGAAAAAUAUUUAAUCCUUGUUUUCUAUUCCAAACAGAUUUCUUCCUGAUGCUGUAAUCUUACAUUGCUGUUUAUCUCUACCUGUGACUUUGCUUAUUCCUUCAUCCCCUCUAUAAAUCACUGCAGCUGGUGGUGCAUUCACCCAACAUUUCUGCCAGGAUGGUGCCAAACCUCUUCCCAUCAGAGACCUAGAGACCUGAACUGGUGAAUUCCCACCACUAUUUUGAACAAGGAAAAUGAAGCGAAAGAGAAUUUUAAAGGUCAAGAACACAACCAGGAAGAUGAGACUCUUUAUCACUCUUCUGACCACUGCUGGCGAAAUGAGCCCCACAGUGCACAAUGGAGAGAACUGACAGAGAGCUUUGAUAAGUUAUAAAUAGUAGGCACUGUAAUUGUCUAGCAGUUCUCCUGCAAAGAAGAGGUAAUUGUGUGGAUGAAUAAAAUAUUGGCAUUAAAAAAACAUUUUAAGCUUAA